AGAGUUUGAUCCUGGCUCAGAACGAACGCUGGCGGCGUGGAUAAGACAUGCAAGUCGAACGCUGAUUUCAAGGUAGCAAUAUUUUGGAGUCGGAGUGGCGCAAGGGUGCGUAACACGUGGGUAAUUUGCCGUGAAGUCUGGGAUAACUUGCUGAAAGGCGAGCUAAUACCGGAUGUGAAUUCUUGAAGGCAUCUUCGAUAAUUCAAAGUUGGGGACCGCAAGGCCUGACGCUUUACGAUAAGCCCGCGGCCUAUCAGCUAGUUGGUGAGGUAACGGCUCACCAAGGCUAAGACGGGUAGCUGGUCUGAGAGGACGACCAGUCACACUGGAACUGAGACACGGUCCAGACACCUACGGGUGGCAGCAGUCGAGAAUUUUUCUCAAUGGGCGAAAGCCUGAAGGAGCGACGCCGCGUGGGGGAUGAAUGGCUUCGGCCCGUAAACCCCUGUCAUUUGUGAACAAAUUGCUUCACCCAACACGUGAAGCAUUGAUGAACG
rnacentral:rRNA from 1 species